rnacentral:rRNA from 1 species
CAGCGCCGCGGGAAUACGUAGGUGGCAAGCGUUGUCCGGAAUUAUUGGGCGUAAAGGGCUCGCAGGCGGUUUCUUGAGUCUGAUGUGAAAGCCCCCGGCUCAACCGGGGAGGGUCAUUGGAAACUGGGAAACUUGAGUGCAGAAGAGGAGAGUGGAAUUCCACGUGUAGCGGUGAAAUGCGUAGAGAUGUGGAGGAACACCAGUGGCGAAGGCGACUCUCUGGUCUGUAACUGACGCUGAGGAGCGAAAGCGUGGGGAGCGAACAGGAUUAGAUACCCGCGUAGUCCCUGUCUCUUAUACA